UGCAGGUACAGGUUUCAACCAAAAGAAUACAACUAAAAUGACAGAAACAGGAAAAGAAGCCAAGACAUAGAACCUUGCAAAGUAGCCAACUCUAUGUGUUAGCAGAUCAGCAAGUAGAUAUACAAACAGGGGCUAAAUUUCUGAAAUCUUAUGAUGUCCUGUAAACUCAAGCUGAAAUUCCACACUAUUUCUUGAGGAAAAAGCUUAUCCAUAAGACCAAGAUACAAAAGAAAAAGCCUAAAGAGCAGUAAGUUCUAAGGCCAAAACUGCACUAUCCACGCCCUAUAUCUGUGACACAGCUAUUUUCUUCAUGUUUAGGUUGACCCAAGAUUCGCGACACUGACAUGUAAGAGAAAAAUAAAAUUGCAGAUGUGUAAUAAUACUAAUUGCAUUGACAAACUUAUCUUGAGCAAGAAGCCAUCAUUAACCAAAUUCCAUUUAAAACCUUGGGAUUAAAAAUCACAGCAAGUCUAGCAGCAGGGUAGCUACUGGACUGAUGAUAACUAUUUCCAAUUCCUCAAUUUUUCUUUGUCCCAACAAAUGUGCAAUCUCAGUCAUUCACUUUUUUUUAAUUUUUAUCACUCAUAUUCAAAACAAAUGCUCCCACCAAUUCAUAGACUUUACAGUUAAAUACCCAAAAUAAAUGACUAACUUACAUUCUGAAAGAGCAACAAUAGCCUAAUAUACUUGUGUUGUAUCUAUAGCUUAAGUAUCAAGAUUCAAUUUGCCAUCAAAAUACCAACACCAAGUGAAAGAUAUAAUUAAAUUCAGAACAUUUUCCUUACCAGAUUAAUUACAGAACAGUCCGUGACCUAAUGUUUUGUUUUCUGCUGGACCAUCAAAGGAAGAAAAAAUCUAUAUUUUUCAUAGAUUUCAAUUUCUUGAGGGGUAAAUUGCAUCAUCAAGAAUUCCACCCUGCCUUGCGAAAAGCAACAUAAACUCGAGCCUCAGAAAGAGGUAAAGGAAUUAUCCUAAACAACGUGACUGAAACUUGAACGAAUAAAGGCAAAGGGAAGAGAGAUUACCUUGCAAGAACAGCGGAUUUGGAGAUAAUUCUGAUCUUGGGACGAUAAUUUUUACGUUUGUGAAGUUACAAGGUUCCCUGCUGUCCCGCUGAGCUCUGGAGAGGUGCUGUUGCAAGCCAUAAGACUAAGAGAGAACCAUUCGGGCUGUGAC
rnacentral:lncRNA from 1 species